rnacentral:misc_RNA from 1 species
AACUGAUACUACCUGCGGGAACCUGCGGAGGGAUCAUUAUAGAGUUUUUAACUCCCAAACCCAUGUGAACUUACCUUUGUUGCCUCGGCGGAGCCUACCCGGUACCUACCCUGUAGCGCCCCGCCGGUGGACUUCUAAACUAUUGUUAUUUUAAUGAUAUCUGAGAGUCUUAUUUUAAUAAGUCAAAACUUUUAACAACGGAUCUCU